UACGGAGGGGGCAAGCGUUAAUCGGAAUUACUGGGCGUAAAGCGCACGCAGGCGGUUUGUUAAGUCAGAUGUGAAAUCCCCGAGCUCAACUUGGGAACUGCAUUUGAAACUGGCAAGCUAGAGUCUUGUAGAGGGGGGUAGAAUUCCAGGUGUAGCGGUGAAAUGCGUAGAGAUCUGGAGGAAUACCGGUGGCGAAGGCGGCCCCCUGGACAAAGACUGACGCUCAGGUGCGAAAGCGUGGGGAGCAAACAGG
rnacentral:rRNA from 1 species